rnacentral:rRNA from 1 species
UACGUAGGGUGCAAGCGUUGUUCGGAAUCACUGGGCGUAAAGCGCGUGUAGGCGGCUCGGCAAGUCGGGUGUGAAAGCCCUGGGCUUAACCUAGGAAGUGCACUCGAAACUGCCAAGCUUGAGUUCUGGAGAGGAAGGCGGAAUUCUCGGUGUAGAGGUGAAAUUCGUAGAUAUCGAGAGGAACACCGGUGGCGAAGGCGGCCUUCUGGACAGCAACUGACGCUGAGACGCGAAAGCGUGGGGAGCAAACAGG